rnacentral:lncRNA from 10 species
GAGAGGCAAAGGAGGUGAGGCUGCAACUGGAAUCACACAGGGCAGCCAUGUACGCAGGAAGCUGUUUCUGGAAAGCAGAGAAGGAAAGAGCCUUUGACCCACGCACAUUAAUCCAAGGGCCAAAGAAAAUCAAGCACUUUGCUUCAAGCAAAACUGAGAUCUCCAUGCAGAAAGAGACAGGUCUGGGUUUGAAUCCUGGCUCCACCACUCAACAGCCAUGCACCUGGACCAAGGAGCUCAGCGGAGUGGUCACUCUCGGGAUGUCUGCAGCCAUCAUCCACAGUCCUGGGGCAAUCACUUAGGCUUCAAGCCUUGGACCUCAGUCUUCUCCAGCCAGGCUCUCAGGCUGGAGUGCAGUGACACGAUCUCGGAUCAAGUGAUUCUCCUGCCUCAGCCUCCCAAGUAGCUGGGAUUACCGGCGUGCGCCACCACACCUGGCUAAUUUUGCGUGUUUUUAGUAGAGACAGAGAUUUCACCAUGUUGAUCAGGCUGGUCUUGAAUUCCUGACCUCAGGUGAUCCAGCCGUCUUGGCCUCCCAAAGUGCUGAGAUUACAGGCAUGAGCCACGUGCCCGGUCCUUUUCCCAUUUUUAAAUUGGAUUUAUUUGUAAGAGCUCUUUGUAUAUUAAGAAAAUUAUCCCUUUGUCACAGCAGUUGCUACUCUUUCUCAGUUUGCUGUUUGUUUUCUGCUGGUUUAUUAAAUAUAGAAAUUUGAAAUUUUUUUGCAGUCAAAUUUGUUAAUCUUAUCUUUUUAUAGCCUGUGAGUUUUGUGUUAGAAAGUCCUCUGC